GGAAGCACAAGUGGAUUGUAUUGCACGUGAAGUUAACGACAACCCCAGAACAUAUUCCGACUUUCUUACUUGUCUCAAAAACGCAAGUAACACACUCGAUCGAAGGCAUAUUCGGGAAGCAUAUUAUUGCAAAUACCUUCUGUCUGACCAAGCAUGGCUGGAAUGGAUAAACGAUGAACUGGACACACCACAACCAGAUCUUGACUAUCUCCUUCCUUUGUUGAACACGGCAGCCCGUUCAUUAAAUAGUCUAGAAAUCUGGAAUAUUUACGUUGAUUUUAUACUGGCAACUAAACUGCCCCACGACGAAGUAAAACGUGUUAUCGACAGUGCACUACGCAGCUGCGGACAUCAUGUGGUGGGGUCACACAGUUUGU